GGAUGUGAGGACAAUGUGGCUAUUACAGCUGUCACCUCAUUGAUUUGGCUGAUCUGGCUUGCUAGGCCCCUUCCUCCCUCUCCUCUCCAUGUACGUCCCUUCCCAAGAUAUGCAUUGGUCAAAGAGGACAACCUUCCCAUAUAGAAGAGGACCAUUCUUUGGUCAAGGAUAUAUGAUUGUAGUGCUCCCCUGCUACGACCUCCAAACAAGAAAACUGUUUGUAAAGAGAAAGACUCUGUGUAGAAGUAUGAGAAGAACUGUACAACAAGUUCACAAAUGCCAAAAAUAUGU
rnacentral:snRNA from 1 species